GGUCAAGCGAACAAGUGCAUGUGGUGGAUGCCUUGGCGAUCACAGGCGAUGAAGGACGCGGUAGCCUGCGAAAAGCUCCGGGGAGCUGGCAAACAAGCUUUGAUCCGGAGAUGUCCGAAUGGGGAAACCCACUCCUAAUGGAGUAUCCGUAGCUGAAUCCAUAGGCUACGUGAAGCGAACGCGGUGAACUGAAACAUCUAAGUAACCGCAGGAAAAGAAAUCAACCGAGAUUCCCAAAGUAGUGGCGAGCGAAAUGGGAUCAGCCUGUACUCUUUAUUCUCAUUGUUAGUCGAACGCUCUGGAAAGUGCGGCCAUAGCAGGUGAUAGCCCUGUAGACGAAAACAGCGGGAAAGAACUGGGUGUACGAGAAGUAGGGCGGGACACGUGAAAUCCUGUCUGAAGAUGGGGGGACCAUCCUCCAAGGCUAAAUACUCGUGAUCGACCGAUAGUGAACCAGUACCGUGAGGGAAAGGCGAAAAGAACCCCGGGAGGGGAGUGAAACAGAUCCUGAAACCGCAUGCAUACAAACAGUCGGAGCCUCUGCGAAGGGGUGACGGCGUACCUUUUGUAUAAUGGGUCAGCGACUUACAUUCAGUGGCGAGCUUAACCGAUUAGGGCAGGCGUAGCGAAAGCGAGUCCGAACAGGGCGUCCAGUCGCUGGGUGUAGACCCGAAACCAGGUGAUCUAUCCAUGGCCAGGUUGAAGGCACGGUAACACGUGCUGGAGGACCGAACCCACUAACGUUGAAAAGUUAGGGGAUGAGCUGUGGAUAGGGGUGAAAGGCUAAACAAACCUGGAAAUAGCUGGUUCUCUCCGAAAACUAUUUAGGUAGUGCCUCGUGUAUCACCUUCGGGGGUAGAGCACUGUCAUGGUUGUGGGGUCCAUUGCGGAUUACUUCGCCAUAGCAAACUCCGAAUACCGAAGAGUGCAAUCACGGGAGACAGACAUCGGGUGCUAACGUCCGGUGUCAAGAGGGAAACAACCCAGACCGCCAGCUAAGGUCCCCAAAUAUGGCUAAGUGGGAAACGAAGUGGGAAGGCUAAAACAGUCAGGAGGUUGGCUUAGAAGCAGCCACCCUUUAAAGAAAGCGUAAUAGCUCACUGAUCGAGUCGUCCUGCGCGGAAGAUGUAACGGGGCUAAGCCAUAUACCGAAGCUGCGGAUGCAUAUUUAUAUGCAUGGUAGGAGAGCGUUCCGUAAGCCUGCGAAGGUGCACUGGAAAGUGUGCUGGAGGUAUCGGAAGUGCGAAUGCUGACAUGAGUAGCGAUAAAGGGGGUGAAAGGCCCCCUCGCCGUAAGCCCAAGGUUUCCUACGCAACGUUCAUCGGCGUAGGGUGAGUCGGCCCCUAAGGCGAGGCAGAAAUGCGUAGCUGAUGGGAAGCAGAUUAAUAUUUCUGCACCAUUGUGAAAUGCGAUGGGGGGACGGAUCGCGGAAGGUUGUCCGGGUGUUGGAAGUCCCGGUCGCUGCAUUGGAGAGGGUGCCCUGGCAAAUCCGGGCACAGGACUCAAGGGUGUGGCGCGAGCUUCUUCGGAAGCGAAGCAACUGGAAGGGGUUCCAGGAAAAGCCUCUAAGCUUCAGUUUCACAGUGACCGUACCGCAAACCGACACAGGUGGGCGAGAUGAGUAUUCUAAGGCGCUUGAGAGAACUCGGGAGAAGGAACUCGGCAAAUUGGUACCGUAACUUCGGGAUAAGGUACGCCCUGGUAGCUUGACUGGCCUGCGCCAGAAGGGUGAAAGGGUUGCAAUAAACUGGUGGCUGCGACUGUUUAAUAAAAACACAGCACUCUGCAAACACGAAAGUGGACGUAUAGGGUGUGACGCCUGCCCGGUGCCGGAAGAUUAAAUGAUGGGGUGCAAGCUCCUGAUUGAAGUCCCGGUAAACGGCGGCCGUAACUAUAACGGUCCUAAGGUAGCGAAAUUCCUUGUCGGGUAAGUUCCGACCUGCACGAAUGGCGUAACGAUGGCCACACUGUCUCCUCCCGAGACUCAGCGAAGUUGAAGUGUUUGUGAUGAUGCAAUCUCCCCGCGGCUAGACGGAAAGACCCCAUGAACCUUUACUGUAGCUUUGCAUUGGACUUUGAACCGGUCUGUGUAGGAUAGGUGGGAGGCUAUGAAGCGUGAACGCCAGUUUGCGUGGAGCCGUCCUUGAAAUACCACCCUGAUCUGUUUGAGGUUCUAACCUUGGUCCGUGAUCCGGAUCGGGGACAGUGCAUGGUAGGCAGUUUGACUGGGGCGGUCUCCUCCCAAAGUGUAACGGAGGAGUACGAAGGUACGCUAGGUACGGUCGGAAAUCGUGCUGAUAGUGCAAUGGCAUAAGCGUGCUUGACUGUGAGACUGACAAGUCGAACAGGUGCGAAAGCAGGUCAUAGUGAUCCGGUGGUUCUGUAUGGAAGGGCCAUCGCUCAACGGAUAAAAGGUACUCUGGGGAUAACAGGCUGAUACCGCCCAAGAGUUCAUAUCGACGGCGGUGUUUGGCACCUCGAUGUCGGCUCAUCUCAUCCUGGGGCUGUAGCCGGUCCCAAGGGUAUGGCUGUUCGCCAUUUAAAGAGGUACGUGAGCUGGGUUUAAAACGUCGUGAGACAGUUUGGUCCCUAUCUGCCGUGGGCGCUGGAUAUUUGAAGGGGGCUGCUCCUAGUACGAGAGGACCGGAGUGGACGAACCUCUGGUGUACCGGUUGUCACGCCAGUGGCAUCGCCGGGUAGCUAUGUUCGGAAGAGAUAACCGCUGAAAGCAUCUAAGCGGGAAACUCGCCUUAAGAUGAGAUAUCCCCGGGGCUUCGAGCCCCUUGAAGGGUCGUUCAAGACCAGGACGUUGAUAGGUCAGGUGUGCACGUACAGUAAUGUACUGAGCUAACUGAUACUAAUUGCCCGUAAGGCUUGAUCCU
rnacentral:rRNA from 1 species